UACAGAGGCCUCGAGCGUUAGGCGGAAUCACUGGGCUUAAAGCGUGUGUAGGCGGACUUCUAAGUACCUUGUGAAAUCCCACGGCUCACCCGUGGAACGGCUGGGCAUACUGGCGAUCUUGGGCCAACUAGGGGCAACUGGAACAAGCGGUGGAGCGGUGAAAUGCGUAGAUAUCGCUUGGAACGCCGAAGGUGAAAACAGGUUGCUGGGGUUGUGCCGACGCUGAGACACGAAAGCCAGGGGAGCAAACGGG
rnacentral:rRNA from 1 species